AUACGUAGGGGGCGAGCGUUGUCCGGAAUGACUGGGCGUAAAGGGCGUGUAGGCGGCCGAUUAAGUCUGGAGUGAAAGUCCCGCUUUCAAGGUGGGAAUUGCUUUGGAGACUGGUUGGCUUGAGUGCGGAAGAGGUAAGUGGAAUUCCCAGUGUAGCGGUGAAAUGCGUAGAGAUUGGGAGGAACACCAGUGGCGAAGGCGACUUACUGGGCCGUAACUGACGCUGAGGCGCGAAAGCGUGGGGAGCGAACAGGAUUAGAUACCCUGGUAGUCCACACUGUAAACGAUGAAUGCUAGGUGUAGGGGGUAUCGACCCCUUCUGUGCCGCAGUCAACACAAUAAGCAUUCCGCCUGGGGAGUACGGCCGCAAGGUUGAAACUCAAAGGAAUUGACGGGG
rnacentral:rRNA from 1 species